CAGCAGCCACGGUAAUACGUAGGGUGCAAGCGUUAAUCGGAAUUACUGGGCGUAAAGCGUGCGCAGGCGGUUAUAUAAGACAGAUGUGAAAUCCCCGGGCUCAACCUGGGAACUGCAUUUGUGACUGUAUAGCUAGAGUACGGCAGAGGGGGAUGGAAUUCCGCGUGUAGCAGUGAAAUGCGUAGAUAUGCGGAGGAACACCGAUGGCGAAGGCAAUCCCCUGGGCCUGUACUGACGCUCAUGCACGAAAGCGUGGGGAGCAAACAGGAUUAGAUACCCCUGUAGUCCCUGUCUCUUAUAC
rnacentral:rRNA from 1 species